rnacentral:tRNA from 1 species
AGGACCUUAAGUUAAUUUAAACUAACAGCCUUCAAAGCUGUAAAUAGAGACAUCUAGAUCCUG